CACCGGGAUAUGUCAUGGAACUUCUUGUUUUGCAGCAGCAAUACAUUGGAAUGUAUAAUCAUAAAAACUGUAAAUUACGAAAUUUCUUCCCUCACUCACAGUGGACAGCAAUCUGUAGUCAGCAAUGGCACAUCCUUCUGCAUUAAAGAUGCCGCCUGAACUGCUGAGAUCCUCCAGCAGCUUGUUCCUUUUUUGGAAAUUCUGUGCUGUUGUUUAAGAAGGAAGUGAAGAACCAAAUUUUCAUAGGUUAGUGAGUGGUAGUUAAAACUCUCAUUUGGGAAGAUGGUUACUGUGCUGUAUCUCUAAAUAAAUAAAUAUUGUCAAGGACAGCAUUGUAAACAAAUUGCAUCUUGUGGUAAACUAUGUCUGGACACGCCCCUCUGCUGAC